AAAGUACUCCCUCCGUUACAAAAUUCUUGUCUUAGAUUUGUCUAGAUACGGAUGUAUCAAGUCACAUUUUAGUAUUAGAUACAUCCGUAUCUAGACAAAUCUAAGAUAAGAAAUUUGGGACAAAGGGAGUAGUUG
rfam:Triticum aestivum genome assembly, contig: Triticum_aestivum_CS42_TGACv1_scaffold_129801_2BL